GCCGGGCGCGGUAGAGCGAGCCUGUAGUUCCAGCUACUCGGGAGGCUGAGGCGGAAUGAUCGCUUGAGCCCAGGAGUUCUGGGCUGUAGUGCGCUAUGCCGAGCCGGUGUCCGCACUAAGUUCUGCAUCAAUAUGGUGACCUCCCGGGAGCAGGGGACCACCAGGUUGCCUAAGGAGGGGUGAACUGGCCCAGGUCGGAAACGGAGGUCAAGACUGCAUAAUAAAAUACAAAAACAAAUUUAGUGUUGCCUACAUUGAUAUAUCCUUGUUUCAU
rnacentral:SRP_RNA from 1 species